rnacentral:ncRNA from 1 species
AUGGCCUUCGUUUAAAAGGGAAUCAGGUGCAAAUCCUGAGCAGUCCCCGCUGCUGUAAGCUUCACAAAAAAUGCCCUUUGCGCACUAAGCCACUGUCGGGAGAUGAUGGGAAGGCCGCAAAAGCAGAAGCAAGCCAGAAGACCUGCCAGGCAAGAUUU